rnacentral:lncRNA from 1 species
UUAACUUGAAGAAAAGAAUGGAGCCAAAGGAGGAGUAGGAUUGAGAUGGGUUGUGCAAAGAUAGGGCCAAGUCCAGGAGGGACUUAGAAGUGUGAUUGGGAGCAAAUGGUUGAGUGUGCAAAGAUAGGGAGACCAGUACGGAUCAGUACGGAUCAGGGUCGAACCAUAUUGCAUAACUCGGCCAUUUGGGACAUUUUAGGACUUGUGCAAUAUUAGGGUGUUGUACGGUCAGUGCAAGCAAUCCGUACACAUCCUGAAGUUUGAACAAGUCUGUCUUGAGCCCCAAGGAAGAAGAAACUCGUGUGGCUGAUUAUGGGAAGAAGCCAAGAGGAGAUUCUGAUGCAAAGGGGCGCCAUGGUCUUUCUUUAGGACUUGGGAUCACUUGUGGAUAAGACAGCAAGGUGUGAGCUGGCGUGAGCUGUAAAGGAGAAGCACCCUUGAGCAUGUAUCUGGUCAGAUACAUGGGAACAUUCAUGGGAGCCUAUAAGGAGCCAAUGAGAAGCCAGCCCUUGCCUUGACCAGUUUGAAUUAACCAAUCAGAUACUAAAGAGAGCUGAACCAAUGAGAAGCCAUCACACAGAUCAAUCCCAAGCUCCAUCCUAGCCAUUCAUUCUCUCAAGUGUUUCUAUCCAUUAGAUUUAGGUUUCUAAUGUAUGCAAUGUGUAAAGCUUAUAAAAGCUAGUGUAAAGGGCGAUUUUGAGCCUUAAGGGAGUUUGGGGGAUUUCCCCUCUCCACUUCAUAAUGAAAUGUGUUCUUGAAUCAGAUUCCCUUUAAUCUCUCCCUUUCUUAUACUCUUAAUCUCUCAAAGUCUCUUGUUUCUGAUUUAAGUAAACACAUAAACACUCUUAUAAACUCUCUCUCUAAAAUCACCUAAAACAAACUCUAAUCUUCUCAGCUUGCUCCAUUGGAGCUUAUACACACACACAACCUGAGAUCUCUGAAAAUCUCAUAUGGUAUCAGAGCCAGGUUCAUCUGAAUCUGGUUGAAGCUUCCGCAAACCUCAGAGCACACUACCAUGUCCAUUUCAACCAAGAAGAAGCUGUCUGUUCUAUCCGGCUGUUCAACACCUCAAGAGGCAGGCGUGUUCAUCCUGGAGUCCAGAAGCUGUCUGCUGCUGUUCCUCAACAUCCCAUGUCGCCCUUGAAGAAAGAAGAUCCAAGGAAACAAAGGCAAUGGAGCGGAUUAGCUACCCUCUCUAACAAAGCCAGUUCCGGGUUCUUGCUAUUCAAAGUCCAAGAAGAAGUUUCUCAAGAAGAAAGCUUGCUGCUUGUACUGGUGUGGCGUGUACAACAUGGAGAAAGGUGGGAGCUUAGACAUGGUGGUUCAAAAGGAAAGGUCCAUGGAAGAUGGAGGCGUUGGAGUGCACACUAACAACUCAGAAUCUGUCCAAUGGAAUCAAGGAUCUAUACAAAGGUCCAUGGCUGUAAGAAAGUUCUUUCCUUUUGUAUAAAGCUUGAGUAUAUUGACAGGUUGUGUUGUGAUUGAAAACUUGUGGAUGUUUAAAGAUUGCUAGAUAUGAAAUGUUUAGAAUCUGUCCCAAGAUAACUAGAGAGUUGUGAAUGGUGAUUGAGAGUUGAAAAGCUUGCCUCGGUUCUAUAAUGAUUGUAUAGGAUGCUAGAUGAGUCUGAUCCUGUUUACUUUCAUUGAUUGAAACCGAGUAGUAUAAUAAAGCUUAGAGUGUUGUUGCUGCCUUAGGUUGAUGCACUUGGAUUCAAGUCUAAGAUGCAGUUAAGGCAGAAGUUAAAAUUGCCUAAGUGUCUUGUAAUGAAUCUGUAGGAUCAUACUAGAACUUAGAGAGCUAAGCUUGCAAUGAUUUGAAACUUGGGUGUCUUGUUUGAUCUUGCAUUGCUUUAGUGAGACAUUGGUGUUCAAGCUUGAUGUGGAAUCAAGGACUGACCCAAUGCACUUAUGUCUAAUCUUCUCUGGAAGUUGAGUGGUGUUUCAGGUGCACAAGGAGUGUUCUUAGUUCUUCACCAAUCCAAGAGAAAGAGGAAGGCAUUGCCCAUUGUCAUGAGCAAUGGAGAGCGGUUACUGAAGUGGUUUUGAGCCACUGGUUAGUGAAGACUCACGGCUGCUCACUUCCAAGCUUGGACCCUCAUUCUAUCCAAGCUUGAGGAGGGGAGUUAAGUGAGCAGAAGAAGAAAGUUCCACAAGAGCAUUCCCUGAAGCUGGCGAGUUGAAGAAGUGCUGCAAGGGUCUGAUGGUGUGAUCAUGAAGCUGCUCUCCCAAGCUUGACUUGUUCCACAUGGUCAAGCUUGAGGGGGAGUGUUGAGAAGACUUCAAAUGAUCACAAAGGUGCCGGUUCAAGAAGGUGGACGGCAGUGAGCAAAUGUAGAGAAUCAAGAAGCUCUCCUUCCAAGCUUGACUUGUUCCACAUGGUCAAGCUUGAGGGGGAGUGUUGAGAAGGCUUCUUGAUGAAGAGCACUUGGCGGUUAUUCAAGAAGAGGAGCAUACCGGUUUGUGAAGCAAGAUGGAGGAUGGUGAAGCAAUCUCCAAGGCGGCCAGAGCAGAGCAGCCUUGGUACUACAGACUGAGGCAUCCGAUCAUGAAGCUUUAGAACAAGGUGGAAACUCUAGAAGAAGAAGCAGCCAAGGCUCAGCUAUUACAAGAUGAAGAGUGAUGAGCAAGAGAAGAUGUGAUCUACCUUGCAUCACAAGAAGGGGCCGAGAUCCAGAGUCUUUGUGUCCCUUACAUUGUUGGUAAGGCACAAAGACUCACUGGCCAAUCCCUAGGCCUUGGAGGCUUUACUCUUUUUCCCUCAUCAAGGUUUUGUCCCAAAGGGUUUUCCUUGGUGAGGUUUUUAAUGAGGAAGUUCUUCAAGGUUCCAAGCUUGACUUAGGAUCUGCUAAAGUCAAGCUUGAGGGGGAGUGUUAACUUGAAGAAAAGAAUGGAGCCAAAGGAGGAGUAGGAUUGAGAUGGGUUGUGCAAAGAUAGGGCCAAGUCCAGGAGGGACUUAGAAGUGUGAUUGGGAGCAAAUGGUUGAGUGUGCAAAGAUAGGGAGACCAGUACGGAUCAGUACGGAUCAGGGUCGAACCAUAUUGCAUAACUCGGCCAUUUGGGACAUUUUAGGACUUGUGCAAUAUUAGGGUGUUGUACGGUCAGUGCAAGCAAUCCGUACACAUCCUGAAGUUUGAACAAGUCUGUCUUGAGCCCCAAGGAAGAAGAAACUCGUGUGGCUGAUUAUGGGAAGAAGCCAAGAGGAGAUUCUGAUGCAAAGGGGCGCCAUGGUCUUUCUUUAGGACUUGGGAUCACUUGUGGAUAAGACAGCAAGGUGUGAGCUGGCGUGAGCUGUAAAGGAGAAGCACCCUUGAGCAUGUAUCUGGUCAGAUACAUGGGAACAUUCAUGGGAGCCUAUAAGGAGCCAAUGAGAAGCCAGCCCUUGCCUUGACCAGUUUGAAUUAACCAAUCAGAUACUAAAGAGAGCUGAACCAAUGAGAAGCCAUCACACAGAUCAAUCCCAAGCUCCAUCCUAGCCAUUCAUUCUCUCAAGUGUUUCUAUCCAUUAGAUUUAGGUUUCUAAUGUAUGCAAUGUGUAAAGCUUAUAAAAGCUAGUGUAAAGGGCGAUUUUGAGCCUUAAGGGAGUUUGGGGGAUUUCCCCUCUCCACUUCAUAAUGAAAUGUGUUCUUGAAUCAGAUUCCCUUUAAUCUCUCCCUUUCUUAUACUCUUAAUCUCUCAAAGUCUCUUGUUUCUGAUUUAAGUAAACACAUAAACACUCUUAUAAACUCUCUCUCUAAAAUCACCUAAAACAAACUCUAAUCUUCUCAGCUUGCUCCAUUGGAGCUUAU